rnacentral:rRNA from 1 species
UAGGGAAUCUUCCGCAAUGGGCGAAAGCUUGACGGAGCAACGCCGCGUGAGUGAUGAAGGUCUUCGGAUCGGAAAACUCUGUUAGUAGGGAAGAACAAAUGUGGAAGUAACUAUGCACGUCUUGACGGUACCUAAUAAGAAAGCCACGGCUAACUACGUGCCAGCAGCCGCGGUAAUACGUAGGUGGCAAGCGUUAUCCGGAAUUAUUGGGCGUAAAGCGCGCGUAGGUGGUUUUUUAAGUCUGAUGUGAAAGCCCCCGGCUCAACCGUGGAGGUUCAUUGGAAACUGGAGAACUUGAGUGCAGAAGAGGAAAGUGGAAUUCCAUGUGUAGCGGUGAAAUGCGCAGAGAUAUGGAGGAACACCAGUGGCGAAGGCGACUUUCUGGUCUGUAACUGACGCUGAUGUGCGAAAGCGUGGGGAUCAAACAGG